UUUCCGUAGGUGAACCUGCGGAAGGAUCAUUCAUAAUAAGUGCUUUAUGGCACUUUUUUAAAUCCAUAUCCACCUUGUGUGCAAUGUCAGGGUUGAUUUUUCUCUCGAGAGGAUCAACCCCAAACAUCAACUAUAUCUCAACUCUUUGUCUGAAAAAUAUUACGAAUAAAACAAUUCAAAAUACAACUUUCAACAACGGAUCUCUUGGCUCUC
rnacentral:misc_RNA from 1 species